rnacentral:snRNA from 1 species
AUCACUUCUUGGCCUUUUGGCUAAGAACAAGUAUGGUAUUUGUUCUUAACAGUUUAAUAUCUGAUACAUGCUCUAUCCAAGGACAAUACAUUAAAUGGAUUUUUGGAGUGGGGAGUUGGAAUAGGAGCUUGCUCCAUCCACUCCACACAUUGACAUGGUAUUGUAGUACUUCCAGGAGUGGUGCCCCCCUC